CCACCAGACUCCUACGGGAGGCAGCAGUGGGGGAUAUUGCACAAUGGGGGGAACCCUGAUGCAGCGACGCCGCGUGGGUGAAGAAGCGCCUCGGCGCGUAAAGCCCUGUCAGCAGGGAAGAAAAUGACGGUACCUGAAGAAGAAGCCCCGGCUAACUACGUGCCAGCAGCCGCGGUAAUACGUAGGGGGCAAGCGUUAUCCGGAUUUACUGGGUGUAAAGGGAGCGUAGACGGCGGUGCAAGCCAGAUGUGAAAGCCCGGGGCUCAACCCCGGGACUGCAUUUGGAACUGUGCUGCUAGAGUGUCGGAGAGGCAGGCGGAAUUCCUAGUGUAGCGGUGAAAUGCGUAGAUAUCAGGAGGAACACCGGUGGCGAAGGCGGCCUGCUGGACUGCGACUGACGUUGAGGCCCGAAAGCGUGGGGAGCAAACAGGAUUAGAUACCCCGGUAA
rnacentral:rRNA from 1 species